rnacentral:rRNA from 1 species
UACGGAGGGUGCAAGCGUUAUCCGGAUUUACUGGGUCUAAAGGGUGUGUAGGCGGGCUUUUAAGUCAGUGGUGAAAUCUCCGGGCUCAGCCCGGAAACUGCCAUUGAUACUAUUAGUCUUGAAUUUUGUUGAGGUAGGCGGAAUAAGUCAUGUAGCGGUGAAAUGCUUAGAUAUGACUUAGAACACCAAUUGCGAAGGCAGCUUGCUAAACAAAUAUUGACGCUGAGGCACGAAAGCGUGGGGAUCAAACAGG